GACGAACGCUGGCGGCGUGCUUAACACAUGCAAGUCGAACGCUGAAGCUCAGCUUGCUGGGUGGAUGAGUGGCGAACGGGUGAGUAACACGUGAGUAACCUGCCCUCUUCUUUGGGAUAACGCCCGGAAACGGGUGCUAAUACUGGAUAUUCACUGAUUCUCGCAUGGGGGUUGGUGGAAAGGUUUUUUCUGGUGGGGGAUGGGCUCGCGGCCUAUCAGCUUGUUGGUGGGGUGAUGGCCUACCAAGGCUUUGACGGGUAGCCGGCCUGAGAGGGUGACCGGUCACAUUGGGACUGAGAUACGGCCCAGACGCCUACGGGAGGCAGCAGUGGGGAAUAUUGCACAAUGGGCGAAAGCCUGAUGCAGCGACGCCGCGUGAGGGAUGGAGGCCUUCGGGUUGUAAACCUCUUUCGCUCAUGGUCAAGCCGCAGCUUUGGGUUGUGGUGAGGGUAGUGGGUAAAGAAGCGCCGGCUAACUACGUG
rnacentral:rRNA from 1 species